UAGACUAGCCGUUUAUUAUGUAAUAAUAUUUAUUAAUGUAAUUUUGCUUCAGUUCUCUAGAUAUUUUUGGGUAUAUAUGUUCCUGAAUUAGUUCCAGCAGUUCCAGUUUGAAGUUGUGAAUGUUUUAUGGGCUUAUCUAAUUCCUACCUUUAAAUAGAAAUGAAUUGAUUUGUAAAUUAUAAUCAUUGGGUGUGUUCUGCUGUGAACUCUACUCUAUACAUGCCAUUACUUAUUGCACAAUUUUAUUACUUUGUGAAUCAAUUGUAACUUAUUUUUAAUUAAAAUGCAGAUCUUCAUGCAGCCUUCUGUUGAUGUUCAUUCAAAAAUUCACAUGGAAAGUACUAAUUUCUCAAUGAAACUAGAUGUGCUAUUGACUGCCAAUAUUCUACUUCAGUUGGAUCUCCAAUUUACUGAGAAACUUUCUCUUCGAAUUAUGGUUAAUAAAGAAUUUAUUUAAUGUAAGUUUUAUUGUUUUGUUCAAGGACGUUUUGCAUUGAUAUUAUUUUGAUGUGUACCGCUCUAGAAUUAGUAGUAUUAGAAUAUCAAUGUAGUUAUCGCAAUAAAAAAUUACCAAUUCUUGUUUGAA